CACGCCGUAAACGAUGUCGACCAGCCGUUGGGUGCCUAGAGCACUUUGUGGCGAAGUUAACGCGAUAAGUCGACCGCCUGGGGAGUACGGCCGCAAGGUUAAAACUCAAAUGAAUUGACGGGGGCCCGCACAAGCGGUGGAGCAUGUGGUUUAAUUCGAUGCAACGCGAAGAACCUUACCUACCCUUGACAUCUACAGAAGCCGGAAGAGAUUCUGGUGUGCCUUCGGGAACUGUAAGACAGGUGC
rnacentral:rRNA from 1 species